UCCUUUAAUAGUCUUUGCACUGUGAUAAUGAAUGACAAAACUAGAUUCUGGAUCAAUUCUGUGUGUACUGAUUGUCGUUCAACAAAGAAACCCUCCACAUGUAAAUGUAUAAUUAUCCAUUGAAAGAAGCUAAAUUAAAUUAAGAUUCACAACCUAUGUCCGUGUUAGGUUUAAAUAUUAAUUUAUAUUAUUGAUGAACAAGCAGUUUGUUUGCCUCACAUAGAGAAAUCUUGAGUUCUUAAUAGUCCAAUAAAAACAUACUGUAGGUCCAGUUAAAUGAUUAUUAUUCUUUGUUUUGGUUUAUGAUACUGAGCCUGCCAAAAAUUAACCCGAUGAUAAAUAUAGAUGCAGACAUGUUAUUGUUCUUUUCAUGAUUGCUCCAAUUCUUCCCAUAAUCCUUUUUUUUGCGCGUAGUCUUCCUAUGGCCGUUCCUUUUCUUAACAUGGCAUGUGGAGCUGUUGUGGAACCAUGUAAAGUGUCACCCUGAGGAAAAUCUUACAAACAGGGGGUAAUAAGACAAGAAAAAUCAUCUAGGUCUACUAAUUUUGCACAUUGAAACAAUUGUUUGUUGCCUUCGCCGCCAUCAGUGACGACCCAAAUAUAAAUCCUCUCAUUGACUAUCUACACACUGUACAUCAAUAGAGCGUUUCAUCUGAUUGAUAUAGCUACUACCGUGUAUCUACUGUCCCACAGAAAAUAGUAUAACAGAUUCUUAAUUAAUGCAUUUGUAACAUGCGUAGAUUAUUACUUAAUUUACUGCUCAUGCAUGAGGAUAUCGGAAGAAGUGAGUUCACAUUCCAUGCAAUUCCAUUAUUCUCUAUUCAGAACCACAAUAUACGAAAAAUGAUAAUUCUCAAUGGAUAAUCUAGAGCCUACCGAAUAUAUAUUUUAUAUCUCAGUGUGAGCAUAUUAGAUUUUCUAGAGUUUGGAUGCAUAUCUUUUUAACUGUAGACUUCACAGAAUGUUUCAUUUCUAAUAAUUUGUUUUUUACAAUGCUAUUUCCUCACAGCACUUUCAGGAGGAUAUUGUUGAUGAGGUUUAAAAGGCAGAGUGAGUGAGUGAAUGUGUGCUGUGUUUUUACAGUGACCAAAUUUUCUGCCUUUCCUAUGGUGACCGACCCAAUUCCAUAAAAAAUGUUAACUUCCAAUGAAAUGCCCAGCAUCCCAAUGCACAGGGAAGAUCCACCUCCUGCCACUCAAACACCUCCUGACUCCUAUUCUUGAAUCCUGCUCUAAGAUCGACCAUACAAUGACCCAACGAAUUCUUAUGGGAAGGACAUUAUGGAUGCAUGAAGAGACUUACGAGGAUUGCAGUUUGUUGAUGUGGAACAGCGAUAUGACCAUUACAUGCAGCAAGGAGCUUGUGCCACUUUCAAGCGCUGUGUUCAUUCCCUGGCAUUGCCCACUGUACUGUAUAUGCGAGCUGUGGCAUUUCCCAUAAAUAAACACGCAGAGCGAUGUUAAGGACAUGUUGGCUGAAGCUUCACAACUAGGAGAGAGUGAACUACAGAGCAUAAAGAGGUCGUUCAGAGUGUUCCUAAUUUUCUAUGCUAUUCCAUACCAAAGGUUGUAUAUUCCAGGUUGUGCUAGGAAGAAAAUUAUGAACAAUAUGUUGUAGAUUCAUGCGAUUGUGACUGUUCGGUUAUGUAUAUCUGUAAUCCUUUAUGAUGGCUCCUGUAUAAGACAUUACAAAGUUCAGAUAUAGGUAUACUAAAAGAGAAUUUAUUCAUUCAAA